GUCGGUCAGCAGUUUGCUCUUCUUUUGACUUGAUGGCCAAGUUAAGCAAACAGCACACACACACACACACACACACACACAAAGACAAACAUGAGCCGACUGCCGUGUCCAAUUUGCAUGGCUAUUGUGUACGAGCUGGCGCUGCUGCUGCUGCCGCUGCUGCUGCUGCUGCUGCUGCGCUGCUGCGCUGCUGCUGCUGCUGCUGCUGCUGCUGCUGCUGCUGACCAAC
rnacentral:sRNA from 1 species